rnacentral:rRNA from 1 species
UCGGGGAAUUUUGGGCAAUGGGGGAAACCCGUGACCCAGCAACGCCGCGUGAAGGAUGAAGUAUUUCGGUAUGUAAACUUCGAAAGAAUAGGAAGAAUAAAUGACGGUACUAUUUAUAAGGUCCGGCUAACUACGUGCCAGCAGCCGCGGUAAUACGUAGGGACCAAGCGUUGUUCGGAUUUACUGGGCGUAAAGGGCGCGUAGGCGGCAUGACAAGUCACUUGUGAAAUCUCUGGGCUUAACCCAGAACGGCCAAGUGAUACUGUCGCGCUAGAGUGCAGAAGGGGCAAUCGGAAUUCUUGGUGUAGCGGUGAAAUGCGUAGAUAUCAAGAGGAACACCUGAGGUGAAGACGGGUUGCUGGGCUGACACUGACGCUGAGGCGCGAAAGCCAGGGGAGCAAACGGGAUUAGAUACCCUCGUAGUCCCUGAGCGGGCUGGCAAGGCGCAU